AUUGAACACUGGCGUCAGGCCUAACACAUGCAAGUCGCACGAGUGGCGUACUGGUGAGUAAUGUCUGGGAAACUGCCUGAUGGCGGGGGAUAACUACUGGAAACCGUAGCUAAUACCGCAUACCAUCGGGUCUGUCCAGAUGGGAUUAGCUAGUAGGGGGGGUAAAGGCUAACCUAGGCGACGAUCCCUAGCUGGUCUGAGAGGAUGAACAGCCACACUGGAACUGAGACACGGUCCAGACGCCUACGGGAGGCAGCAGGGGGGAAUAUUGCACAAGGGGCGCAAGCCUGAGGCAGCCAUGCCGCGUGUAUGAAGAAGGCCUUCGGGUUGUAAAGUACUUUCAGCGGGGAGGCGUUACCCGCAGAAGAAGCACCGGCUAACUCCGUGCCAGCAGCCGCGGUAAUAC
rnacentral:rRNA from 1 species